GCCUUUCAACACUAAAAGACACCUGAACCAAAUUUUUUAUGAUCCUGAAUUCAGAAGAAUCAUGCGAUCAGCUAGGAAUAAUUAUUCAUUCACAAGCUCAAGUAAAGCCCAAUCUCCAAUAAAAAUAAAAGAUGUAACACCUGGCAUCAUAACUGACAACACAUCCAAUUUAGGUCUAUACCUCACAACAUCUAGUAUGCCGAUAAUUCACAUUUUCACUCAUCA
rnacentral:misc_RNA from 1 species